UUCGGCUAAAAACCGCUCGAUCUCAAAUCGAGUAUUUCAGGCUGCAUACCGCUAAGCCGAAACUUCGAUAAAUCAUAACUUUCUCAUACGAAGUCAGAUUUGGGCGUUCUAUAUAUAUUCGGAAACCUCGUUUCAACUACUAUAACAUUAUUCAAAGAUAUUAAGUUUAUUUUACACUUAAAUUUUGACGCUUAUUUUUUUAAUUCUUAGUUAAUCAAACCACAUAAUUAAGCAAUUAAGCACAAAACACAUAAUACUCAAAUAAUACAAUCUUAUUAUUUCAAAACGGGUUACAAAGGUUAACCUAGACUAUUACAUUGCUAAAAAUGGCAAGCCCGGAAACACAGGCGUUACAAUUCUCUCCACCUUAGAAUGAUUCCGUCCCCGGAAUCACACAUCAACAAACAAAUGCGGAUAGCGACUCAACAUGUCACUCUCCGUCUCCCAGGUGAGAUUCGGCCCAUUCGUGUGUUUCCAUCGGACAAGCACUAACCCAACCAUUUUGCGUCGCAACUUCUUAGUCUUUCGGUCAACAAUUGCCUCUGGUUCUUCAAUCAACCUUUUGUUCUCAUCAAUUCUCAAUUCAGAAAUUGGAAUUAUAUCGGGAACUUCUCCCGUGAACUUCCUCAAAUAACACACAUGAAAGGUGUUGUGAAUUCCAUUCAGUUCUUCGGGUAAUUCGAGCUUGUAAGCUUGAUUCCCAAUCCUCUGAAGGACUUUAAACGGUCCAAUAAACCUUGGACUCAACUUUCCCCUUUUACCAAAUCUUAUAAGUCCCUUCCACGGCGAGACUUUAAGCAAAACCGAAUCUCCAACCUCAAAAGUCAUCGGUCUUCGCUUCUUGUCAGCAUAGCUCUUUUGACGAUCUUGAGCUGCUAACAUUCUUUCCCUAAUUAUUUUCAACUUUUCAGCAGUUUGAUGAACCAUCUCCGGUCCCAUAAACUGCUUUUCCCCAGCCUCAAGCCAACAAGACGGCGUACGACACUUCUGUCCAUACAAAGCUUGAUAAGGUGCCAUCUUAAUGCUCGAGUGAAAACUAUUAUUAUAGGAAAAUUCUACCAACGGUAAAUGUUCAUCCCAAUUACCUAGGAAUUCCAAGGUACAUGCUCUCAGCAUAUCUUCAAGUGUUUGUAUUGUUCUUUCACUCUGACCAUCAGUCUGCGGAUGGUAAGCUGUGCUUAAACAUAACUUGGUACCCAUUUCCUCUUGUAGACUUUUCCAAAACCUUGAGGUGAAACGGCUAUCACGAUCCGAUACAAUCGUUAACGGAACACCGUGAAGCCUCACAAUUUCCUUCACGUAAGAAUUCGCAAGCUUUUCCAUAGACCAUUUCUCCCUGGCCGCUAUGAAAUGCGCACUCUUAGUGAAUCGAUCAACGACCACCCAAAUCAUGUCGUGACCAUUCUUUGUUCUGGGCAGUUUAGUGACAAAAUCCAUAGCAAUGUCUUCCCACUUACCCAUAGGCACAGGCAAUGGUUCUAAACUCCCGUAAGGUUUCUGAUGUUGUGUCUUGACUCUCGCACAAGUCACACACUCGGCCACAUACUUUGCAACAUCAAGCUUCAUCGUCGGCCACCAGUAGUAGGGUUUCAGGUCCCUAUACAUUUUAGUGCUACCCGGAUGAAUUGAGUACAUGGUUUUGUGAGCUUCUUCCAUCAGAAGAUCCCUAAUUCCUCCUGACUUAGGUACCCAAAUACGAUCUUGGAAUACCUUCAGUCCAUGACCGUUAGUACCAAACACCAACGUUUUACCCAAACGUUCCUCCUUUCGGUCAUUUUUCUCAGAAGCUUCCUCUUGAGCUUUCUUUAUACUUUCCACAAUAGUCGAGACAACUUCAAUUCUCAACGCUCUUGGCCUCUUCCUUUCAAGAUUGACUUUCCGACUGAGAGCAUCAGCAACAACAUUAGCUUUACCGGGGUGGUAAAGUAUCUCGCAGUCGUAGUCUUUAAGUAAUUCUAGCCAGCGUCGUUGCCUCAUAUUCAAUUCUUUCUGAUUAAAGAGGUAUUGGAGACUCUUAUGAUCAGUGAAAAGUUUGCACUUCGUGCCAUAGAGGUAAUGCCUCCAUAUUUUCAGAGCGAAAACUACCGCUGCCAACUCCAAAUCAUGAGUCGGGUAAUUCUUUUCAUGCUCUUUCAGCUGUCGAGACGCAUAUGCUAUCACCUUUUCUCUUUGGGUCAAAACACAACCCAAUCCAACACCAGACGCAUCGCUAUAAACAGCGAAGUCUUCAACUCCAUCGGGUAGAGAAAGUAUCGGUGCCUCGCAUAGCUUCUUCUUUAACUUCUCGAAUGCUUCUUUAUGCUUCUCACUCCAAGCAUAAGUAGCUCCUUUGUGGGUCAAAGCUGUUAAUGGAGUAGCAAUCGAAGAAAAGCCUUGGAUAAACCUUCGGUAAUAUCCGGCUAAUCCUAAAAAGCUUCGAAUCUCCGUGGGACUUUUCGGUUGUUCCCACUUCGUCACAGCUUCGAUCUUCGCUGGAUCAACCAUUAUCCCUUCUUGGUUGACCACGUGACCCAAGAAUUGGACCUCACGAAUCCAAAAAUCACAUUUGGAGAACUUCGCAUAAAGCUUCUCCUUCUUCAAAACUUCUAACACUUCUCGCAAGUGUCUGCCAUGCUCCUCCUGGCUUUUCGAGUAGAUCAGAAUGUCGUCUAUGAACACUAUCACGGAUUUAUCAAGGAAAGGAUUACAAACCCUAUUCAUCAAAUCCAUGAACGCUGCUGGAGCAUUGGUUAGUCCAAACGACAUAACCAAGAACUCGUAGUGUCCAUAUCUAGUUCUGAAUGCAGUCUUCUCGAUAUCUUGCUCUCUUACUUUCAGCUGAUGAUAUCCUGACCUAAGAUCGAUCUUCGAGAAAUAGCUCGAACCUUGCAAUUGAUCAAACAGGUCAUCAAUCCUCGGCAACGGAUAUCUAUUCUUUAUUGUUGCCUUGUUCAGCUCUCUGUAAUCGAUGCACAUUCUCAUACUUCCAUCUUUCUUCUUUACAAAUAACACCGGAGCUCCCCAGGGCGAUGAACUAGGUCUAAUGAAACCUUUGUCCAAUAACUCCUGAAGUUGCAUCAUCAGCUCCUUCAUCUCCGUCGGUGCUAAUCGAUAAGGUGCUUUUGCUAUUGGCGUGGUUCCUGGUAACAAGUCUAUUCUGAACUCCACUUGUCUAUCAGGUGGUAAUCCAGGAAGAUCCUCGGGAAAUACUUCCGGAUAAUCACACACCACUGGAAUGCUCUGCAUCACCUUCUUUUCUUUCUUAGCAUCAAUCACGAAUGCUAAAUAUGAUGUACAUCCCUUGGUCAAACACUUUCUGGCUUUCAUUAGAGAAAUGAUUCCAGAAUUCACUCUGCGUUUGUCCCCAUACACCAUAAACGAAUCUUUCCCAGGCGGGUUUACUUUAACUAUCUUCUUCUUGCACAAAAUUUCGGCAUCAUUGGCGCUAAGCCAAUCCAUUCCCAAGACGAUGUCGAAACCAUUUAGUUCGAUAGGCAAUAAUUCCUCGAGAAACUUAUUCCCAUUAAGGUCGAUCAAGACGUUUUUCAUACGAUGGCUAACAGGUACAAACUUGCCACUAGCUACUUCGACUAAUAAAGCAUUAUCUAGUCUAUCAACAGGCAAAGCUAGCUUUCUACCAAACUCAUGCGAAAUAAAGGAGUAGUUGGCUCCAGAAUCAAACAAUAUAUGAGCAGGUAAUUCGUUUACGAGAAAGGUACCUGAAGCGACAUCAGCUUCAUCUUUCGCAGCCUCAAGUGUCAUCUGGAAGGCUCUCGCCUUCGGCUUUGGUGGAAUGUUGGGCCUAGCUGCCUCCUUCUUCUUCGGACAGUCUUUCAAAAUAUGCCCCUCUUCAUUACACCCAAAACACAUCCUUUUGUUGUUCGGACAUUCAUUGGCAAAAUGUCCAACCUUUCCACACUUGUAGCAGGUCACAUCCUCGCUACAUUUCCCAAAGUGCUUUUUCUUACACUUAUCACACCACUUUGCUUCGCCUCCUUUUCCUCCAAACUUUUUCGAAUCAGAUUUCGAAAAUUUGCUCUUCUUACUGGAACCAGAUGUUCCUUCAAACUUCCUUUUCUCACCAACCUCAACCUUGACGGUGGUUCUCCCCUUGAUCAUGUUCUCCACAGACUUGGCAGCCCAGAUAGCUGCCUCUAGAGUAAGUGCCUGACGUACCGGCACCUCGUACUCCCAUGGAAGUCCCUUCGCAUACCGAUCCACCUUUGUCAGCUCGUCUGGAACGAUACGCAAGGCAAACUCCAUCUUAUCGGUGAAGUUAUUGGUGUACUCAUCCACUGACAUGCUACCCUUCGUCAAUGUCAAAAACUUGUUCUCCAACUCCAACAGAUUUUGAGCCGAGCAGAACUUGCGCUUGAACUGCACCAAGAACUCUGCCCAUGACAAUUGCAGUGGCUCAUUAGGGCUUAAGGUCUUCCCUAGAGUGUUCCACCAACGAACGGCUCCACCUCGGAAUUGUCGCACGGCAUAGAUAGUCUGCAACUUGCCUCUACAGCCACAUGUCAUAAAGGCUAACUCCAUUUCGGAGAUCCAAUCCAUAACCCCAAUCGGAUCCUCCUUUCCAUUGAAGGUCGAUGGUUUACAAGUCAAAAAGUCCUUGUACUUGCAUCCCAUUCCAUCAUUCCUUCCAUCAUGGUUAUCUUGCCUAACUAUCGGUGGGUUGGCUGGACCAACAGACCCACUGAAGUUUCCACCUUCCGAGUGCCCUUCAUUCAGUUCAGGCUCUUCCACACGAAUCGACAGUUCUUCACGAUUUUGUUGAAGCAACCGUCUAGUUUCAUCCAUCUGACGAUCCAACAUCGUCUGAAUCAUCAAUUGCACACCAGCCAUGGUUAUUGGCUCAGGUGCUGCUGCUACGACAGGUAUUGGCUCAAUCACUGGUGGUUGAUUCCUGUUUUCGUCAGCAUUUCCAACUCCACUUCUUGUUCUCACCAUUUUGAUCUACACCGAAUAAGGUGAAAUUAGAUCCUCAAUCAUGAUAGAUAUUCAAAUCAUCCUUAUCACUCCGAAACGUUUACAUGCUAGUUCUAAUAUCGUAGACGUACGCUUAGAAUCCUACACACAUAAGGUUUCUAGAUCCGGUCGGCAACAGACCAUAGAUCCGAACAAAUAAUAUCAUAUAUGGCAACAUAUAACAUUUAGCACAUAAAGCAUUUUAGGCAACUUUCCUAAAAUAAACUAGUGCUCGUGUCUAAAUCACAACAGACACACAUCUCAAAACUUCACUUAGCAUUCUAAGUUUAAGUCUAGAAAUCCUACAAAUUCCUAGUUCGCUUAAACUAAUGCUCUGAUACCAACUGUGACAUCCCCAAAAUCUCGGCCAGAAAAGACCGAUUUUCAUUUAUGCUUUUAAAUAUUUUCAGAGUAAAUCCUUUUGAUUUGAAAGAGUUGCGGAAUUUGUUCCCAAAAACAAAACAUGAUAAAACAUUGUUUACCGAAGCAUUUCAUAAAAGAAAUGUAUUUUCAUUAUAAUCAAAACUCGGGGUGUCAUGUUCCGAUACAGACCAAUAAGCAUAAACGAAUACAUUACAAGUCAUAUAACAAAUAUAAACAUAUGCAGACUUGUAAACAAAACAACUUGAUGGUUCAUCCAUCUCAUGCCCUUCCGCCACUACCUGUAAUACAAUUUAAAACUGAGUGGGUCAGGCUUGGGAGCCUGGUGAGCAUAUAGGGUUUUCAACCCACAAUAAAUAUCAUAUUUAAUUUUCACCAACCAACAAUAACCCAAUUACCCAUUCCCGUUAUUCUCACUUUAAUGUCCCUAAAACAACUAACAUAAGGGACCUAGUCUAAGAAUAUUUCAUCGGGGCGACAACACAUGCUUCGGGGGUACCUCAGCAAUAUAAGUCAAAUAAGGCAACCAUGAGGGGGAUGGAGUACAGCGAAUGAACACCCAAGUUCAUUAACACCUACAGGUGGCGAACCUGCUAAUGUUUCCACAAGACUGUCUAGAAUAGCCAGUGGUCGUCAUCUAAACUCCGCUAGAUGACUCAAUCAAACAACAACGAGGCCUCUCAUCUGUUUAUUACACACCAACUGUCUACCCAUGUUCUACCCAACAUAUUAGUAGAUAAAAAUAUACAUUUGUAUACAUAGUUUAAAGAAAACCUGUAUAGCAUGCUUUAAUCAACACAUAUAUCACAUAACAGAUGAGGCACACACACACAUAACACAUAUCUCAUAAAGAAAUAAGCAGAUCUAUAAGAUAGAAGAGAGUGAAUACUCAUUCACACAUAACACAACCAAAUAUAUACACAUAGCACGUAUUUUUAUAUAAAAUACUUCGUAUUAUUGUAUUAGAAGAAAUAACUACACACUCACUUGAUCAGAAGACGAUCCGACAGCACUACGGCUUAUAGAAGUAGUAAUCCACAGCAGAUCUGGAAGAUCUCCUCGAAAAUCGAACUUCUCGCGGGCAGAGCUUCGACUCGGGAACCGCACUUCUCGGGAUCUUCGGGAUCUCGGGACUUGCCUCGGGGCUAGAGUAUGAUACCGGGACUUCGGGGUAGCUUCGGGGGUUUUUGCACAGAGCUUCGACACGAAAACGAGAGGGAAUUGGCAAAAAUACCCGGAACCCUCGCAUCCUAUUUAUAGGAGGCUGGAGCCUCGGAGUACGCGGGGCGUACUGCGUUACGCGGGGCGUACUGCCCAAAACGUCAUUGCUUACGUAUCCGAAGUGCUCGAGUGCGAGUGUCGACAUCCCUCGGAGUACGCGGGGCGUACUCGAGUACGCGGGGCGUACCUCGGAUCAGAUCGGUGACUCCUUCGGAUAAUGCUUCCGAAUUUUGAUUUAAAUUUAAAUACAAAAUGAUUAAUAAACUUCGGAAAUUCAUAACUUCUUCAUACGAACUCCGUUUUCGACGUUCUUUAUAUCCACGGAAAGGUGAGACCAUGCUCUACGACUUUCGUUUAGACUCCGUCGGCUAAUUUUGACUUUAUUUUUAUUAAUUAUUUUUAAUAGGCCGCGACAGAAACUUUCGUUAUAAAUUCAUAACUUCUUCGUUUGACGUCCGUUCUCGCCUAACUUUUUAUCGCUUCGAUACCAACAACGAGACCUUCGAUCCUCGUUUAGAUUGCUUCAGCUAAAAACCGCUCGAUCUCAAAUCGAGUAUUUCGGGCUGCACACCGCUAAGCCGAAAAUUCGAUAAAUCAUAACUUUCUCAUACGAAGUCAGAUUUGGGCGUUCUAUAUAUAUUCGGAAACCUCGUUUCAACUACUACAACAUUAUUCAAAGAUAUUAAGUUUAUUUUACACUUAAACUUUGACGCUUAUUUUU
rnacentral:lncRNA from 1 species